rnacentral:rRNA from 1 species
UAAUACCCGAGCCCCAAGUGAUAGCCGCUAUUAUUGGGCCUAAAGCGUCCGUAGCCGGUUUGAAAAGUCUCUGGUAAAAUUCUAUAGAAAACUGUAGAGCAUGCUGGAGAUACUGUCAGACUUGAGACCGGGAGAGGUAAGAGGUACUCGUGGGAUAGGGGUAAAAUCCUGUAAUCCUGCGGGGACCACCUGUGGCGAAGGCGUCUUACUGGAACGGGUCUGACGGUGAGGGACGAAAGUUAGGGUAGCGAUCGGGAUUAGAUACCCCGGUAGUCCUAACCGUAAACGAUGCCCGUUUGGUGUUGCGAGCUUCUCGGGAGCUUGCAGUGCCGGAGCGUAGGUGUUGAACGGGCCGCCUGGGAAGUAUAGUCGCAAGGCUG